CAGUUACUCCCGGAAGCGCUGGGACGGGUGGUGAGGGGCCCCGGCAGGUGGCGCGCCUUACAGCGGACGGUGUUCGUGCUGCUUUCCGUGCCGUGGUUUCUGAAAGAUACAGACCAGAAGAGGAGUUUGGGGCUUGACACCUGACAUCUUAACACCAGUUCCUGUUUCUUGAGGAAGGAAGAGGUAAAAUAAAUCAGCGUUUUCUGUGUCCUUCUCCAUCCCCGGAAGUCCUCAUGAAGACCCUCUCAGCUUCAACUUGAACGUGAAUAUGAGCAGCUGAUCAUCUGUUCUGCAGUCAGCCCCUGGCCAGAUUCUGACUCAUGAUAUUGACCUUCUCCAUCAUCACCUUCCACAAAUUUGAUUCCUGUCUAUUCUGCCUGGAAUGGUGCACGAGUAUAGUCACCGUUUAUGCUCCUGAUGAAAGAUACAGACCAGAAGAGGAGUUUGGGGCUUGACACCUGACAUCUUAACACCAGUUCCUGUUUCUUGAGGAAGGAAGAGGUAAAAUAAAUCAGCGUUUUCUGUGUCCUUCUCCAUCCCCGGAAGUCCUCAUGAAGACCCUCUCAGCUUCAACUUGAACGUGAAUAUGAGCAGCUGAUCAUCUGUUCUGCAGUCAGCCCCUGGCCAGAUUCUGACUCAUGAUAUUGACCUUCUCCAUCAUCACCUUCCACAAAUUUGAUUCCUGUCUAUUCUGCCUGGAAUGGUGCACGAGUAUAGUCACCGUUUAUGCUCCUGAUGAAAGGCGGGACGCCCCUCCUGUGCUGUCCUCAGAAGGGCUCUUCAGGGACCACACCCCUAGUUUGCGGAGCAGCAGAGCCUGCCCCAGUCUGGACUAGGGACUUUAUUUCUUCCACUCUCACCACUGGCUGAAGGCAGACUCCUGUCUCCACAGACUAAAGAGGAAUUAUCAAAAUGAGCUCGAAACUCUAGAUUUGAGUUAAGGAUCAUAAAUUAACACAGAGAAAUACAACUUUAACAACAAAGACCUGUUUGGAGCCCCAGUUGGAAUUAAAAAAAAAAAAACUUGAACAGAGGGAGUGAUAAAGGCUUCCUUCUUUUGCCAUCCUCUCUCGGUGGUCCCAAGCUUUCUCAUCUCCCACCUCACAAGACUGUAUCAACUGCUUUGAGACUUUUAGAAUAAAGAUCCCCAGGCAUAUCACUGCUGUUACCCUGUGAGGAUUUCCCCAGUGCUGGGUUAGACUAAGACAGAAUCCUCCAGAGGCUUCCGGGGUCUGUGUACUGGAUGGUCAACACACAGAGCCUCAGAGCCCACUUCAUUUUUCCUGCAGUUGGGCAUGACCCCAGGGACAUGACCCUGAGAGUGCUGACACUUCCUGAAGCCAGUGACCCUCCCCCUGGGCUUCUCUCUGCCUGGGUCUCAGAAUCUCUGAGGCCAACUUGUACCCUCGGAAGUGUUUCUGCUGAAGGACACGUAAACAGCACUGUGGGUUUGUGUCCUGCAGUCUGCAAAACUGCCUCCCCUGAGUGGGGUGAGGAGCUACUGGAAUACUGAAACAUUGAAAUCAUUAAAACUAGCAGAAGCCACAGCCCAUGGUGCUGGGAGAAAACUGGGAAGGACGGAGAGGUGAAGAGGCUAUAAAGGCCCAGGUGUGAAGGCGACCAUGGGCCAGGAUGUCCUGAAGUCGCAAAGCUGACCAAUGCUGAGUGCCCUAAAAGCUGCCACUCCUGUGCCCAUCUUUUCUUUCAAUGGACAAAGUCUUUCCCUGCUCUUAUGUGCCUGGGCUGGAAGGGCCUUUGACUUAGAACAUGAAGCAGCCUCCAGAGCCUCUUGGGGCAAGUGAUGGUCAAGGAGGCUCUGCCUAACCCCACCCUGCUCUUCCCACUUGUCAGAGGACCAGGAAUUUCAGUCUUCCAACUCCUGGGCUGAUCUAGUGACUCAUAACAGGAUUUCACUGGAACUGGAAGGUGUUGAAGACAGGAAGUACUCCUGGGUUUCUUCACCCAGCUGAAUGCCUAGUUCCUGGUCUUAUUACACGGCUUACAUUCAGGAUAAGAAGAGGCGUUUGGAGCUUUACGCAUGACCUCUUAGCAGCGGUUUCUGUUCAGGAGUGAAGAGGUAAAAAGAAAGCAGUGUCUACUAAGUCCUUUUCCAAGAGUCUCAGGAAAUUCUCACGAAGACCCUCUCAGGUACGGCGCCUCUAUAAAAGUCCUCCCUUCAAAGAGAGUUAAAAGAGAUGAGCAUUUCUCCUGUUUGAAUGUUUGCUUGUUAAAUAUGGUAAGAAAAUCACCGGCGUAGAAGAAAUCUUUAGGAGAAGUUUCAGACUGUUAAAAAGGUUCAGGGAAAUGAGGACAUUUACAUGUUCCAAAGGAGGAAAUUCACUUGGCAUUCAACAUAUCAAUGCCACGAAAAAAUUAACUUGAAGAUUCUUUGUUUACAAAUAUGAAACCCCACAAUACUAUUUUCAAAGGGCGUGAACUUUUGUUACAAGGCACUACUAUCACUAGAAUGGGACCUUUGGUGACACAAACCGUUUGCUCUCUACAGAUAAAUGAAGGGUUAGUGGUUCCAACUCACACAGGUGCGUCCUGAAAAAGAGGCCUUGCUUCUGCUUUCAUAAUGAUUACAGCCAAGAAUACUCUAUGGAGUGCAGCUUUACUCUGUAACACAUGGUAUAGCCAUGAGUCAGAAUCCACUGCUUGGAAAUGGCUAUUAUCAUUGGUACCAUUUUGCAGAGAUUUUAUUGCUCACAGCAAUGCCCCCAAAAAUAUGGUAGCUUUGGUGGAAAGAGAGAAGGGACGAGGUCUGCAGAGGUGGAGGAUGCUGGUGAUGGAGAGGCCUCCAGGGAUUCCUGAGACCAGAGCCUUGGGCUCCUAUAUGAAGAUCAGGGCCAUGAGAGCUCAUAUAAAUUAACUAUUCUCAGAGGUCUCUAUCCAAAAGGAAAAUGCCCAAGAAUCCACAACAUCUCAAGCAAAAAACCCAAGCUCUAGGGCCAGAAAGACUCCACUACCAUCAAAGAGGCCUUUUCCCUCAGCUUCCACUGAGCAGAUAUCUCAUUCAUCCAGCUAAGGGGCUACCCCAGAGAAGCGAUGGGUAAGGUGUGUAUAUUUCACCCAGGUGCACACGGUCAAGGGGGUGGCUGUGUCCUGGCAGACCAAAACCUCCUUUGCCCCCGUGGAACAGAUGCCCCAAGUCUUUGAGGCCGAGCUCUCUGAGUAGAGCACCGUCGCCGUGCCCCCAGUCUGGCCAACACUGAGUCCCUGGUAAGCACCCUGGGGCCUUGGAAGGAGGGGCCCCAGGCCCGCACCACUGAGCCCAGCGUCUGAGGAGAGGAGCAUGGGGAAAGCCUCCACGCAGUCACCCUGGAGUGGCUAGUGACCCAUGAGCGCAGCUUCCACUGCUUGGCCUGCUGCCUUGUGUUCAAGUCCCAGGAGGCCCUGGUGGCUCACAUGGAGCAUGGAAUGAGCCAGGGCUUCAGCAACCAGGUCCUCUGUGAAGAGCUGCUGGAAAAGGAACUGCCACCCUCACCCCCAUGCAAGCCCAGAGGCUGCCACCAGCUGGCCAAGGCCACUUGAUGGCCUCCAAGAAGAGGGAGGUGUGGGAGAGGAGUGCCGUCUGCAGGAGCUGGAGGGGCAGCUGGAGAAGCAGAGAGAGCAGCUGAGGAGGUUGAGGCACCAGCUGGUGAGGUUGCAGAGGCAGGAGGCCAGGCUACAGAGGGUGGGGGCACAGCACUGAAGCCAGAGGAGGAAGAGCCUGAAGACCUGCUAGCAACUUGGGACUGGGAGGAGCAGGGCAUUUGUGCUGGGAAAUGUGGGUCGUCUCAUCAGCUGCUACCCAAAAGAUAUGUGGCCCACGGAAGAAAGGCCUGGCAAUCUACUUCUGUACUAUCACAGUCAUUGAAAACUCUGUGCAGUGCAGUUCUACUCUGAAACACCUGGGUUCACCAUGCAUUGAAAUCAACAAGACAGUAGGUUUUUGUUCUGUUAAGGCCUCUGUUCAGGCUCCUUUAACCCACCUGCCUGUAAGAACCUCUCCUCCCAGCCUGUGCCCCAAUCCAACUACUCCAAGUGCAUGGAGAGCUGCAAUCCUAGGGGGACCUGGAAAGAAGGAGCCCCAGAACACCUGACUGCAGACACCAGGUCUGCUCAGAGGUUCCCCUAGCCUAGGAGAGGAGAGGACAGGCCUGAUCUGGAUGGUGAGGUCUCAGAACUCUGAGAAUGAGCACAGCAUAAGGAGGGGGGGAGAAAUGGGAUUUCAGUGGGACUUGGGAGGCUGAGGGGGACUCUGCAAAGACAGCUCCAACGGAAGUGUGCUGGUGAACGGGGUGUCACUGAGUUCUUUGCAUAGAAGGAACCAGAGAGAGAGUAGGCUGUGGGGAGACCUGCCUGUAGGUGAGCAGUGGGCGUAAGGCCCUACCCAAGGACUCUGGGUCACUUCUCAUCAUCCUCCAAGCAUAGAAAGGAGGAGGUCCUGGUUGGGCAAAGAGGAGGAGGUGGUGAAAUAAAGAGCUCACCGCAUUCAAGUCUACUGCCCUCACUGGGGGAAUUUGGGUUUAUUGCUGUGAUUUAGUGUUGCCUCUUUGGAGGAAACCCUCAUGGCGUAUUGGUUAAGUGCCACGGCUGCUAACCAAAGCGUCGGCAGUUCGAAUCCACCAGGUGCUCAUUGGAAACUCUAUGGGGCAGUUCUACUCUGUCCUGUAGGGUCACUAUGAGUCGGAAUUGACUUGGCGGCACUGGGUACUGGGCCUCUUUGGACUGGAGUGGGAGAUGGUUUAGAAAAACUCUCCUGGGUGUCCCUUUUCUGCAUAACAGUAGAUCUAGUAGUGUCUGCGUAACUCAUGCAAAGGAUGAGUUCCUAGGAUGUAAGGAAACUUUUUUUCUUUUAAAAAACCUUUUUCUGUUUGAUUUUGCACAUAUCAAUGACACUAGCUUGUUCUUUCUUUUUUUCUGUGGUAUAAUUUGGCCAAUCCUGGGGUCAGAGAACGGGAAGAAAAAGACUGGACUGGAAGUAUAGGAACAAAGGCAGACGAGGCCUCUUAACCCUGGGAGAACACAGAUGGUUAGAGGUGAGGCCAGCAAGGGGCAGAUUCAGGCCCAGACUGUAUAAUGAGCAGAAAAGCCCAAGUCUUAGACACAUCAUCAUGUCCCACGCCCUGGAAGAUGCCAGGGGCAUGUUGACCCUCCUGGGAGAUAAGACCCCAAAUGGCACAGGGAAGCCUUCAGGAGCAAGGAAGGGAGGGCAGGGCCUCCAGGAUGGGCAUCUCCAUCCACAGGCUGCCCUGUGUAUAUUUCUCAGUGACAGUAAUGGCUCCUGCGAGGGACGGGGUCAGAGGCAGACAGAAGCGAGAGCUUUGAAAAAUUUGAGACAGGGUUAAUUCUGCCAGUACCAGAGGAUGAAAAACGAAAGCCUGUGGUUCUCAGGGGUACAGACCUGCCAGGGGCCUGAUGUAUACAGGGUGGGCAGAGGUGUCUGGAGAGGUCCACCUGUCUAAAGACUUAUGGCCAUAGUCUUCAUUAUCCUAAAAGCAGCAAUUUCCCAGUUAAUUUCCUCUACGUUUAAACCAAAGCCAAACCCAUUGCCAUUGAGUCCUGAUAAAAGGCCUGGAGUGCGCAAGGGUAGGUUUUCCAGUAGAGCGAUGAGGGGAGGAAGAUGGUAAUACCAUACCAGACAAGGAGACUCUUCUUUGUGCCUUGUGUUACCUACUCAAUUGCACAUGGUGUUCAGCCCUCAUCUUUGCGUGUACACGUGUACAUGCAUUAAGAGUUACUAUAUUGACCUCGCAGAAUUCUUUUUGGUCCUUUCUAGGGAUAGAGAUCAGAAGAGGUCACUGGCUUCAUAUACCAAACAUGAAAUCUGCAGUCUGACUUUUGUACAGUCUGUGUUUGUGUUCUCUAUCCAGGGAUUAAAAUCUCUGAUCUGACAUUAAAGAUUGGUUUUUUUUCCUGCAAGAAAAAGAGGAAGACCCUCAACAAGAUGGAUUAACACAAUGGCUGCAACAAUGGGAUCAAACAGCAACAAUUGUGAGGAUGGCGCAGGAUGGGGUAGUAUUUCCUACUGUUGUACAUAAGGUCAUUAUGAGUCGGAACCAACUUGAUGGCACCUAACAGCAACAACAACAUAAAAAAAUAGUUUUAAAAACAUACAUGUCAUAUUUUACGACUUGCACAUAUCUUAUAAUCUUAUUAUGACAUACGUAACAGUACAAAUUUGUAAAGAAGUUAUAAUACAAGCCAUCCCUACAUGUGUGUGAUGCUCCUGCUCCCCCAAGGUGUCCAGUGUUCAAAGACACAUGUGUGUUCUUCCUUACAUUUCUCUUUUCUGGGACACAUGUUACAGUCGUACAUAUCCAUGUAGAUCUAUUUGCAUGUUUGCUGUUACAGAACCUUCAACACGGUCUACCCACAUUGCUCCUUGCCCCUUUUUUCACUUGACAUUUGAUCAUGGCUCCCCUGUAAGUCAGUAGAUAUGGAACUAAUGCUGCUUAGUUCUUCUAAUUUUUUAACUCGUAUUUAUACAUAAAGAAUGUAAAUAAAUGGGAACAAUGACAAUGUGCAACCUAUACACUUUCAUAUAACUCUACAGAAAUGAAAACACAUAGCAGCUAUGAUCUUUAAAAAAAACCCACUGCCAAUGAGUCAAUUAAGCAUAGUUUUUUCAGUAUGUUCUAGCUCCCCACCCCUUGUCCCUUCCCAUAACUGAAUCUAAGAUAGUUCAUAUCAACAAUCAGGUAAGUGUUCUAUCUUAUUAUUCUUGCUUAAACUAUCAUACUCACACAUGCAAAUAACCACAUCUACUCAUUUAUGGAUAUAUAUAUGCUUGGAUUCAAAUACAUUUGGUUAUUUGUUAUUGUUUUACCCAUAUGGGCUCACUUUAUAUAUAUACUUCUCUCUGUCUUGGUUUUUUUUCUUCAAUGAUACUUCACAGUGAUUUCACUUACUAAUCUUCUAUAGCUCUGUUUCAUUCUAAUGACUACCAUAUAUUAUUAUAUGAUAUGGUUAUUAUAUUAUUAUUGUAAUAUUACUGGAAUAUUUGAAUAUUAUGCAUUAAAAUUUUAUUAUAAUAUCACAUCCUUAAUGGGCAAUAAUUUUAUUUUUCCUUUUUUGUCUUUAACAAUAACCAUCCUUUGCAUAUACUACAUGGAGCCCUGGUGGCACAGUGGUUAAGAGCCCAGCUGCUAACCAAAAGGUUGGCAGUUCGAAUCCACCAGCUGCUCCCUGAAAACUGUAUGAGGCAGUUCUACUGUGUCCUGCAGGGUUACUAUGUACUACAAGAUUUGUAUCUGUGGGGUAGAUUCUAAUGAGUGAGAUUUCCAGUUCAAAGAAUGUUUUAAAAAGUAUAGAGCCAUGUCUAUGUCUUUCCCCUAAAAGUCUGUAGUAACGCACCUGUCUUUGUCAUCUAGUGCUGCUAUAACAAAAGUACCACAAGUGGAUAGCUUUAACAAAGAGAAUUUAUUCUCUCACUAUCUAGUAGGCUACAAGCCCAAAUUCAGGGUGGCUAUCUAUCUCUGUUAGCUCUGGAGAAAGGUCCUUGUCAUCACUCUUUCCUUGGUCUGGGAGCUUCUCAGUGCGGGAAUCUCAGGUCAAUUGCUUCCCUUUCCUUUUAUCUCUUGUAAGGUAAAAGGUGGUGCAGGCCACACGCCGGGGAAACUCCGUUUACACUGGAUCAUAGUAAGGGUGUUAAAAUCCCACCCUAAUCCUCUUUAAUGUAAAAUUACAAUCAAAAGUGGAGGACAAUUACACAAUACUGGGAAUCAUGGCCCAGACAAAUUGAUAUAUACCUUUUGGAGGGGACAUAAUUCCAUCCAUGACAGCACCUUUCCAGCCAUGUCUGAGGGCAUCCUUCUCCCCACAGCCCAGCCAGCCAUAAGUGGUGUUGAUUUUUCAAUUGUGCCGGUUUCACUGGGAUUUUGACUGACAUUUUCUUAACUAUCAGUGUUUUUGAAACUUUGAUUAUUUUUAUUGGGGAUUUGGAUAUUUUCUGAAUGGUCGGUAAUUGCUCAUUACCGACAGUUCUGAUGAGGGUCACAAUACAUAGAUGCUGAAAAAGUGGGAGAAAAAUGAAGAACAGAGCUCAGAUUAUUAAAAAGUCCAGACUUACCGGACCAGUUGAGACUAUAUAUAUACUUAUAAUACAAACCAUCCCUGAGAUACUCUUUAAACCUUGUACUGAAACUAUUCCCUGAGUUCAUCUUUUAGCGAAAUAGCAGACUGGCACACAAAAUAAAGGGUAUUAUCCAUCAGUAUGGCACUCCAUUAAAAAACCAUUAUGUGCAGCCAAAAUGUCAACCAUUACUCUAAAGCAAAGAUGAGAUGAUAAGGGGGCAGGGAAACUAGAGUACUGGAAAUGGAACAACCGGAACACAAUUAAAGACACUGUUGACACGCUGUGAAAGAUCUGAAUGAUUUUUGUAGAAAUUGUCAGAUGGGAACCUAAUUUGCUGCGUAAAGUUUCACCAAAAACAUAAUAAAAUAUUAUUUAAAAAAAUCAUUGCUCAUUUUCCAAGUGCCAAAUUUUUGUGUCUCCUUCAUCUAAAGUAGGAAUAGUUAUUAGUCCUUUGUCAUCUACGUUUCAAAUUUUUAAAUCUUUUGCUUGUUUAUCUCUUCUUUUUUCUUUCUUUUUUUUUUUUUGCAAGCUAUUUUCCUCUCUUCAAUAAUCGAAAUGUUUUAUGCUCAAUUACAUCUACCUUUUCUCUUAUAAUUUCUGGAUUUCCUAUAUAAGUUAAGAAAAUCUUACAUGUAACUUCCUAAUUUUCUGUUAAGAUUGUUGUUGAUUUAUACAUUAAAUUUGUAAAUCAAUGCAGUAUUUUGGCACACUUUUCUAUAAGGACAAUCAGUUGAGUCAGCACCAUUUAUUAUGAAUUUUCUAUUUUGUUCCACUGGUGUAUUUCUCAGUUUCUAGUAUAAACCCUGGUGGCGCAGUGGUUAAGAGCUAUGGCUGCUAACCAAAAGGUUGGCAGUUCAAGUCCACCAGGCGCUCCUUGGAAACUAUGGGGCAGUUCUACCCUGUCCUAUAGGGUCACUAUGAGUCAGAAUCGACUCGACAGCAUGGGUUUGGUUUUUUGGUUUAGUAUAAUGUAUUAAUUUGUUCUAUUAUUCAAUGAAAGAAGGCUGCACUUACUAUCCUUUUUCAUAUUUCAAUUGUCUGUUCUUUGGUAUAAGGAGCCCUGGCGGUGCAAUGGUUAAGCACUUGGCUGCUAACCGAGAGGUUGGCGGGUCGAACGCACCCAGCAGCUCUACAGGAGAAAGACCUGGGAAUCUGCUUCUGGAAAAAUUACAGCCCCCUUCCUUCCACCUCAGAAAAAACCCUACGUGGCAGUUCUACUCUGUAUUCAGUUCAACAGACAACUAUUUUGGUAUUCUAAUGGGAAUCACAUUAUAUAUAUAUCUUAGUUUUGAAACACUUGACUUGUUUUACAAGUCUUCACGUUUGGGAGAACAGGCAUUUUUUUGCAUUCAAUCGGGUUUUGUUUUAUUUACUUCAGUAGAUUAUUUUCUUCAUAUAGGUUCCUUACCGUUUCUAUCAAAACAUUUCCCUAAGUAUCUUAUUGUUUUUGACACUAUUUGGUACAAUCAAAUAGCAGAGAAAAAAGAAUGGUCUAUCCUUCCCAUUUUCAUUUUUUCGCGUGCUUAUUUCUGGUCAGAAAUAUAGAACUGAUUUUGGUAUAUUUGUCCUAUAUCCUGCCACUUUACCAGCAAUUUUAUAUUCGUCCUCUAGGUUUGCAAUUAUAUCAGCAUUAAAAAAGUUUUAAAAUCUUUUAAUAGUUACCCUCGUUAUUUAAAAUGUCUGGCUUAUUCUUUCACCGUCAAAACUAUAUUCUGGGAUAGAAGUAAUUAUAGCUAUCUUUGUUUAGUUGCAAAUUUUAUCAAAAUGAAUGGACUGUUUUGUAGUCUAUCCCACAUCUGUUAAGUUUUGGGAUAAUUCGUUGUGCACCAGUAGAUAACAAACACAUUGACCUUGCCGACCAUGAUUGCAUUUAGCUUCGUGGGCAAGUUGGGGAGAGUUUCAUCUUCAUCUAUUCUUUGAUGGAUCCUGUCUAAGGCCAAAAUUAACUGUUCUUUGCAUGUUUCAUGAAAUCUGCUGAGAGCCAACCAGGCCUGUAAUUUUCUUUGCAGGAAGAUUUUUAACUCUAAUCCAUUUUCGACUCAACAGCAAGUAGCGAAAACAACAAUCCAUUUUGCUUCAUGGAAUCUUCUGGCAAUAAUUUAUUAGAGAAGUUUCCAAUGUGUGCUCUAGGCUGCUGGAAAGCCAUCUUUAAAGAUUAUGUGGAUAUUCACUCUUUUCAGCCUUAUCCAAACCCAUUAAUCAAUCCCAGAUUCUCCCCAUUUCCACAAAGGUCCUUUCCUGCAUCCACUCCUGGUACCAGUUCCCUCCUCUCAGACUUUGUAUUUUCUGAAAAGAAAUGAACAGUGUGCCACCCAAGCAGUGUCGUGCCCACAGGCUCCUGAGUCCAAAAUAGGGAGGAUACUGUCUUCAAAUAUUCUUUUAUUUUCUAUUUUUGUCUGUACUUAAUUUCUUUUUCAUACCGUAUCGUAAUUGUUUUAAAGUUGUGUUUUUAUGUCUGGGUCUGAAACCCAGCUGGGAUUCCCUUUGUGUGUGGUAUGUUGUGGUGUCCAGUUGCAUGUGGGCAUCAAAAGGACACCUUUUUCAGGAGGGUGGGGAUGGGAAGGGUGCUGACACAUUGCGGGGAUUGCAACCAAUGUCGGGGAAAAUUUUUGUAUGAAUUGCUGAAUGGCAAACUAAUUUACUAUGUAAAUUUUCACCUAAAGCACAAAAAUGUUAUACG